rnacentral:rRNA from 1 species
UACGAAGGGUGCAAGCGUUACUCGGAAUCACUGGGCGUAAAGCGUGCGUAGGCGGUUCGUUAAGUCUGCUGUGAAAGCCCUGGGCUCAACCUGGGAACUGCAGUGGAUACUGGCGGACUAGAGUGUGAUAGAGGAUGGUGGAAUUCCCGGUGUAGCGGUGAAAUGCGUAGAUAUCAGGAGGAACACCGGUGGUGUAAACGGCUUCUGGACGACUAACUGACGCUGAGGCACGAAAGCGUGGGUAGCAAACAGG